GAGCUAAUACCGGAUAAUAUAUUGAACCGCAUGGUUCAAUAGUGAAAGACGGUUUUGCCGUCACUUAUAGAUGGAUCCGCGCCGCAUUAGCUAGUUGGUAAGGUAACGGCUUACCAAGGCAACGAUGCGUAGCCGACCUGAGAGGGUGAUCGGCCACACUGGAACUGAGACACGGUCCAG
rnacentral:rRNA from 1 species